CCUACGGGGGGCAUCAGUGAGGAAUAUUGGUCAAUGGACGAGAGUCUGAACCAGCCAAGUAGCGUGAAGGAUGACUGCCCUAUGGGUUGUAAACUUCUUUUAUAUGGGAAUAAAAUGUUCCACGUGUGGGAUUUUGUAUGUACCAUAUGCAUAAGGAUCGGCUAACUCCGUGCCAGCAGCCGCGGUAAUACGGAGGAUCCGAGCGUUAUCCGGAUUUAUUGGGUUUAAAGGGAGCGUAGGUGGAUUGUUAAGUCAGUUGUGAAAGUUUGCGGCUCAACCGUAAAAUUGCAGUUGAAACUGGCAGUCUUGAGUACAGUAGAGGUGGGCGGAAUUCGUGGUGUAGCGGUGAAAUGCUUAGAUAUCACGAAGAACUCCGAUUGCGAAGGCAGUUCACUGGACUGCAACUGACACUGAGGCUCGAAAGUGUGGGUAUCAAACAGGAUUAGAUACCCUGGUAGUC
rnacentral:rRNA from 1 species